rnacentral:rRNA from 1 species
CCUACGGGAGGCAGCAGUGGGGAAUAUUGGGCAAUGGGCGCAAGCCUGACCCAGCAACGCCGCGUGAAGGAAGAAGGCCUUCGGGUUGUAAACUUCUUUUAUUAGGGACGUAGCAAGUGACGGUACCUGAUGAAUAAGCCACGGGUAACUACGUGCCAGCAGGCGUGGCAAUACGUGGGUGGCAAGGGUUAUCCGGAUUUACUGGGUGUAAAGGGUGACGUGGCGGGAGUGAAAGUCAGAUGUGAAAACUAUGGGCCCAAACCAUAGCGUGCAUUUGAAACUGUACUUCUUGAGUGCUGGGAGGGCAAUCGGAAUUCCGGGUGUAGCGGUGAAAUGCGUAGAUAUACGGAGGAACACCAGUGGCGAAGGCAGAGUGCUGGACCGUAACUGACGCUGAGGCGCGAAAGUGUGGGGAGCAAACAGGAUUAGAUACCCGAGUAGUC